GGGGCGGUAGCUCAGUUGGGAGAGCACCUGCUUUGCAAGCAGGGGGUCGUGGGUUCGAUUCCCAUCCGCUCCA
rnacentral:tRNA from 2 species